rfam:Lepisosteus oculatus linkage group LG11, whole genome shotgun sequence.
GCCAGCAGCCAUAUCACCCUGCAACUCACAACUGGCAACCCAAUGAAGCUCAGCAGGUGUGAGCCUGGUCAGUACCUGGAUGGGAGACCUCCUGGGAAAGCUAUGAUUGCUGCUGGAA